rnacentral:siRNA from 1 species
AAAAGCAACUACUUUUCAAGGUGA